rnacentral:lncRNA from 12 species
AUGCUAUUCUAUGAUAUUCUAUCAUGUUUUAUUCUAUUCUGCCUUAUGCUAUUCUAUUCUAUCCUAUUGUUAUUCUGUCCUAUUCUGUUCCAUCCUAUCAUAUUUUAUACUAUUCAAUUAUAUCUUUUGCUAUUCUAUUAUAUCCUACGCUAUUCUUUUCUAUUCUAUCCUAUUUCAUCAUAUCAUUUUCUGUUCUAUUCUAUUCUGUUCUGUCAUAUCCUGUUUUAUUCUAUUCCAUCCUAUAAAAUAAUUUCUAUUCUAUCCUAUCAUAUCCCAUUCUAUUUUAUUCUGUUAUAUCCUAUUUUAUCCUAUCUUUUUCUAUUCUAUCCUAUUCUAUUCUAUUCUAUUCUAUUCUAUCCAAUUCCAUUCUGUUCUGUUCUAUUUGAUCCUAUUCUGUCCUGUUCUGUUCUAUCCUAUUGUAUUCUAUUCUAUUCUGUUCUGUUCUAUUCUAUUCGAUCCUAUUCUGUUCUAUUCUAUUCUAUCCCAUCCUAUCCUGUUCUGUUCUAUCCUAUUGUAUUCCAUUCUAUCCAAUUCCAUUCUAUUAUCUUCUAUUCUAUCCUAUUCUAUCCUAUCAUCUCCUAUCCUGUUCUGUUCUAUCCUCAUGUGUUCUAUUCUAUCCUAUUCCAUUCUGUUCUAUUGUAUUCGAUCCUAUUCUGCCCUAUUAUGUUCUAUUCUAUUCUAUCCCAUCCUAUCCUGUUCUGUUCUAUCCUAUUGUAUUCCAUUCUAUGCAAUUCCAUUCUGUUCUAUUCGAUCCUAUUCUAUUCUAUUCUAUCCCAUCCUAUCCUGUCCUGUUCUAUCCUAUUGUAUUCUAUUCUAUCCUAUUCCAUUCUGAUCUAUUCUAUUCAAUCCUAUUCUGUUCUAUUCUAUUCUAUCCCAUCCUAUCCUGUUCUGUUCUAUCCUAUUGUAUUCCAUUCUAUACAAUUGCAUUCUGUUGUAUUCUAUUCUAUCCUAUUCUGUUCUACUUUAUCCUAUCCUAUCCUAUCCUAUCCCAUUCUGUUCUAUCCUAUCAUAUUUUAUUCUAUCCUAUUCCAUUCUGCUCUGUUCUAUUCGAUCCUAUUCUAUCUUAUCCUGUUCUGUUUUGUUCUAUUCUAUUCUGUUCUAUUCUAUUGUGCAUGCAGGAGAUCCAGUCUCUGCUCAUUAACUGGAAGGGUCCGGAUCUGA